AUUCUCAGAAGCACGUUCAUGUAGUCUGUUGGUUUCUCAUCAGGAUGAACCUGGCAUGCUGAUAUAAGUUCCUUCAAGGAAAUUUAGAUCUAAAUUCUGGCAUUGUGGAUUGCCUUAUGUUUACAACUGGGCAGCAGCUUCCUGCACGAGACAUGAGUUGACGUGGUUUGACCAAGAAGAGGCAAGGAUGCAAAGGUAACCAAACCGGUCGCCAUGUGAGCAGAGGUAUGUGCAGCAGCACAAGCACCAAGGAAGCUGUAGCAGUGCGGAUCCUUUGGCCUCACUGCUGAUGCGUCGUGUGUGUUUUGCGGCUGGGAGCCACCUGCACAAGGGCCCUAGGAGCAGGACAGAUGCAAAGACUUGUGCCUGCAUUGUUGCUGUUGGUGCCACUUUCAGGCAGAUGCCUCAUGGAUUUGUCACACACAUGUUGCCUGGAUCCCAACACACCUCUCUGCAGACUGAGAAGAAAAAAAAGAAAACCCCUGAGCAGCUGGUUUAUAAAUCCCACAGUGUCAGAGAGAUGCACAACAACAUUUGAAGCUGAUAGUGUGGAGCCCCUUGUGCUCCUCUGAAGAUGGACUCUACUCACAAAUUGAAUCCACUUGCCAUAUUUAAACAUGGAUUUCCAUUUCUACUGGGCAGAUCCAACAGUGUGCUCAGUGAGUAUUGUCUUUUUUUUUUUUUCAGAUAGUUUUUAGAAAAUUUGAGUUCAGAAAUAUAAUUGGAGAAGAAAAAUACAGAGCUAAUGGGAUAACAUAUAAGAACAAGUAGCAUAGGGACAAAUCCUCAAUACUUAGCUUACGGGAUGUGUUCACAGAAUGGAAUCCAAAACUUUUUCUUUGUGAUCUCUCUGUAAUGCUAAUGGAAAAUCUAAUGCCUCUGGAUAAUAAUCCAAAGACGCAGAAGUAGUGAAAAGAGCCUCCACUAGCUGCCAUUGCAAAACACUAAAAAUAGGGCUGCAUCUGUUUAUUUUUUUUUUUUUUUUAAUUUUAUUUAUUUAUUUAAUGAAACCAGUUUGGAGGUGCCUGUGUGGGAUCCAGAGUAUUUUUCCAGGUCACAUGCCUGGAUCGAUUUGACAUCUAGAUUUCAGUUUGUACCCCAUCACAUAGGAAUAUAUGUUUAGAUUCUUUGCAUUUUUAUUUUGUAGCCUAUACUGCAAUGCUGAAUCAAACUGAUGUCUGAAUGAAGAGUUAGAAUUGAGCUUUUUUCAAACAAAAAUAUUAAUUAGAUUUCCACCCUGUGCACUUCAGCCAUGUGCUGCAUGAGUUUUAUAUUUCCUUUUCCAGCAGCGUUCUUCCUCUUAUGAAUGAACGCAGUGUUUUUCUAAGACAAACGUAUCCUCUCAUGCCAUGAAGCAGAUGUGUUACAAGCAGCAGUGGCUUUACAGGUUUUCUCGCACUGGCCAAUGUGCUUGUCCUGUGCCAGCUUUGACUCCUUGGCUUGGGGCAGAGUUUGCAGUCCAUGCCUGUUGUCCAGGUCAUUAAGGAGGUGAGCAGGGGAGCACUGCCCAGUCCCUGGUGUAACAGGACUUUUGAGAUCUCAUAUUUCAAUUCUCUCCUUAGUUCAGUGAUAAUUCUUUAGAGUUGCUGAAUUUUUGCUACUUGAGAAAUGUCUGUCUAACCUCAGAAAUAGACCCUGUAAAUGAAUUAACAGAGUGACAUUUUUUUUUCCUGACCUGUCAGCCAGCAUACAUGACUUUUCCCCUUCACCUCAAAGUGGACUAAAUUUCUAGCAUUAUUAUCUAAUUAUACCACUGCUCAUUGGAAUGGAAAA